rnacentral:rRNA from 1 species
UACGGAGGGUGCGAGCGUUGUUCGGAAUCACUGGGCGUAAAGCGCGUGUAGGCGGUCUCCUAAGUUUGGUGUGAAAGCCCGGGGCUCAACUCCGGAAGUGCAUCGGAUACUGGGAGACUAGAGUACCGGAGAGGAGGGUGGAAUUCCUGGUGUAGCGGUGAAAUGCGUAGAUAUCAGGAGGAACACCUGUGGCGAAGGCGGCCCUCUGGACGGAUACUGACGCUGAGACGCGAAAGCGUGGGGAGCAAACAGG